GAAGAAGAAGAGGUUGUUUCCACAGAACUGGAGAUCCCUCAUGUUGAAGUGGCUGAGAUACCAGAAAGACGUGUCCCAGAAGAAAGAAAACCUAUCCCUGUCCCUAAAAAAGAAGCUCCACCAGCUAAAGUGCCUGAAGUUCCUAAGAAACCUGUUCCAGAAAAGAAAGUUGCUAUUGCUAAAAAAGAAGUGGCUCCCCCAACAAAAGUGCCUGAAGUGCCUAAAAAACCUGUGCCUGAAGAAAAAGUACACAUUCCUGCUUUUUUUACCUAGCGAUGGAAUGUGUGUGCACCUCUUGAAUAUCAUUUUAAUUAUUUUUAUUA
rnacentral:lncRNA from 1 species